AGCGAACGCUGGCGGCAGGCCUAACACAUGCAAGUCGAACGGAUCCUUCGGGAUUAGUGGCGGACGGGUGAGUAACACGUGGGAACGUGCCCUUUGGUUCGGAACAACUCAGGGAAACUUGAGCUAAUACCGGAUGUGCCCUUCGGGGGAAAGAUUUAUCGCCAUUGGAGCGGCCCGCGUCUGAUUAGCUAGUUGGUGGGGUAAAGGCCCACCAAGGCGACGAUCAGUAGCUGGUCUGAGAGGAUGAUCAGCCACAUUGGGGCUGAGACACGGCCCAAACUCCUACGGGAGGCAGCAGUGGGGAAUCUUGCGCAAUGGGCGAAAGCCUGACGCAGCCAUGCCGCGUGAAUGAUGAAGGUCUUAGGAUUGUAAAAUUCUUUCACCGGGGACGAUAAUGACGGUACCCGGAGAAGAAGCCCCGGCUAACUUCGUGCCAGCCGCCGCAGUGACAC
rnacentral:rRNA from 1 species